AUUGAACGCUGGCGGCAGGCCUAACACAUGCAAGUCGAGCGGAGCGGCGGACGGGUGAGUAAUGCCUAGGAAUGUGCCUGGUAGUGGGGGAUAACGUCCGGAAACGGGCGCUAAUACCGCAUACUAUCAGAUGAGCCUAGGUGUGAGUAGCUCGUUGGUGGGGUAAAGGCCUACCAAGGCGACGAUCCGUAACUGGUCUGAGAGGAUGAUCAGCCACACUGGAAAUGAGCCACGGUCAAGCCUCCUACGUGAGGCAGCAGUGGGGAAUAUUGGACAAUGGGCGAAAGCCUGAUGCAGCCAUGCCGCGUGUGGGAAGAGGGUCUUCGGAUGGUAAAGCACUUUAAGUUGGGAGGCGUUACUAACAGAAUAAGCACCGGCUAACUUCGUGCCAGCAGCCGCGGUAAUUC
rnacentral:rRNA from 1 species